rnacentral:rRNA from 1 species
GACGAACGCUGGCGGCGUGCUUAACACAUGCAAGUCGAACGGACUGAAAGAAAAGCUUGCUUUUCUGGACGUUAGUGGCGGACGGGUGAGUAACGCGUGGGUAACCUGCCUUUAAGAGGGGGAUAACACUCCGAAAGGAGUGCUAAUACCGCAUAACAUCAGAUUAUUGCAUGAUAGACUGAUCAAAGGAGAAAUCCGCUUAAAGAUGGACCCGCGUCUGAUUAGCUAGUUGGUGAGGUAACGGCUCACCAAGGCGACGAUCAGUAGCCGGCCUGAGAGGGUGAUCGGCCACACUGGGACUGAGACACGGCCCAGACUCCUACGGGUGGCAGCAGUAGGGAAUUUUUCGCAAUGGACGGAAGUCUGACGGAGCAAUGCCGCGUGAGUGAUGAAGGUUUUCGGAUCGUAAAGCUCUGUUGUAAGGGAAGAAUAGCUAGAUGAGGAAAUGAAUUUAGUCUGACGGUACCUUACGAGGAAGGGACGGCUAAC